rnacentral:rRNA from 1 species
GACGAACGCUGGCGGCGUGCCUAAUACAUGCAAGUCGAGCGCAGGAAGCCGUCUGAACCCUUCGGGGGGACGACGGUGGAAUGAGCGGCGGACGGGUGAGUAACACGUAAAGAACCUGCCCAUAGGUCUGGGAUAACCACGAGAAAUCGGGGCUAAUACCGGAUGUGUCAGCGGACCGCAUGGUCCGCUGAUGAAAGGCGCUCCGGCGUCGCCCGUGGAUGGCUUUGCGGUGCAUUAGCUAGUUGGUGGGGUAACGGCCCACCAAGGCGACGAUGCAUAGCCGACCUGAGAGGGUGAUCGGCCACACUGGGACUGAGACACGGCCCAGACUCCUACGGGAGGCAGCAGUAGGGAAUCUUCCACAAUGGACGAAAGUCUGAUGGAGCAACGCCGCGUGAACGAUGAAGGCUUUCGGGUCGUAAAGUUCUGUUGUAAGGGAAGAACAAGUGCCGCAGGCAAUGGCGGCACCUUGACGGUACCUUGCGAGAAAGCCACGGCUAACUACGUGCCAGCAGCCGCAGUAA